GUUAUAACUUUUUAUGUCAACAUACAUCAAUAUCAAUCUCGUUAAAAAUCCAUUUCACAGGGUGUAAAUAAUAUUUAAUAAUAGCAUUCGAAAGCUUUUACACUUUCAAACACCAUAAUUCAAUAAUGAUCCUUCCGCAGGUUCACCUACGGAAA
rnacentral:misc_RNA from 1 species